UGCACUUUAUUCUGUUCAAAUUCUUUACUUUGCUGGUUACUAAGAAAGAAGAGAAGGACCCCCUUUUGCUUUCUCUCUCUCAUUCUUUUUCUUUCUUUAAUUUUUCUUAUCUAUUUUUGGCCUACAUUGUCUUGUGCUUAACUUAAAGUAGUGUAGUUGUCUCUUGUUUCAAGUUCCCCCUUUUUCUUUCUUCUAUAUAGUGUUAAAAUCUUUGGGUUAAAAACAAUAAUACCCAUAUAUCACAAGAGUGAAUUUGAACAAGAAAGGAACAAUCUUUAUGCUUUUUAAGAGAUACCCAAGAUUGAACUUCUCUUAGUGCCUCAUUUGCAAUUUGGUCUAUUUGGGGUGUUGGAUUUUUGGUUUAUAUUUCAAAGAAGAAGAAGAAAGAAGAGUGAUUCUUGAUAAAGUUUUGAGCUUUAUUGAUUCUUGAUUCUUUAUUUGUAUGAUUUUGUGUAUUGUAAGUUGAAACUAAAGAAGGGUGCAUGAAGGAAUAGUGAAAAAAUGAGAGAUGAAAAUUCCAAAAAGAGCAAGCUCUCCUGGUCAAAGAAACUUGUCAGAAAAUGGUUCAAUAUUAAGGGAAAAACUGAAGAAUUCCAGUCUGAUGAAGUUGUUUAUGGAGGUGGCGAUGAGUGGAGAACGAGCAUCUCGGAGAGGGAACAUUGCACGAUUAAGAAAACUAAAACAGAAAAAUCAAAUUCUUCACGGAGUAUGGAACGUCCCCGACGAGGAAGAGCUGAUCUUGAUCACCCUCAAAUUAUAAAUGUACACAACUACAGCGUUUUCGUUGCCACGUGGAACGUGGGUGGAAAAUCACCAUCAAGUAAUUUGAGUCUAGAUGAUUGGCUUCAUUCAGCACCACCUGCAGAUAUCUAUGUACUUGGAUUUCAAGAAAUAGUUCCUUUAAAUGCUGGUAACAUCCUUGGAGCUGAAGACAAUGGACCUGCAAAAAAAUGGCUAUCUUUGAUACGAAAGACACUUAAUAAUGGUCCUGGUAGUAGUGGAGGUAGUAGUGGCUGCUAUACUCCUUCUCCUGUCCCAGAUCCAAUUGCUGAAUGGAAUGCUGAUUUCGAGGGGUCAGGUAGACGCAAGGCAUCCUUAUUUCCUCGUCGAUCAUUCCAGACUCCCCAAUGUUGGAGAAUGGAAAAUGAUCCAUCCAUCUCGCAACCUCGCCUUGAUAGACGAUACAGCGUGUGUGAUAGAGUUAUUUCUGGACAUAGACAGAGUGACUUUGAUCCUAACAUAAGAUGGGGCCACAGACCUAGUGACUACGGUCCCAGGCCAAGUGACUAUUCUUCUGGUUACCGGCCUAGUGAUUAUUCGUCUAGUCACAGGCCGAGCGACUAUUCGUCUGGUCACAGACCAAGUGACUAUUCCUCCGGUCACAGGCCAAGUGAUUAUUCAUCUGCUCAUAGGCCAAGUGACUAUUCUUGGGGACAGCGGCCAAGUGAUUUCUCCAGAUGGGGUUCUUCAGAUGAUGAUUAUGGUCCUGGAGAUUCACCAAGUACUGUUUUGUUUUCACCUGUGACUGGUGCAGAAGACGGUAAUAGAAUGCCUAGAAACUCAAGAUACUGUUUGGUAGCCAGUAAACAGAUGGUUGGCAUUUUUCUUACUGUAUGGGUACGAAGUGAAUUGAGGGAACAUGUCCGUAAUAUGAAAGUAUCAUGUGUUGGCAGAGGGUUGAUGGGUUAUCUUGGAAAUAAGGGUUCUAUUUCAGUAAGUAUGAUGUUGCAUCAGACAAGCUUUUGCUUUGUCUGCACUCACCUAACCUCUGGUCAGAAAGAGGGUGACGAGUUACGCAGAAAUGCAGAUUUUAUGGAGAUCAUAAAGAAAACAAGGUUUCCGCGAGUAAGUGGUGCGGAUGAAGAGAAGUCCCCUGAAAAUAUCCUUGAACACGACCGAGUUAUUUGGCUUGGGGAUCUGAAUUAUCGAAUUGCACUCUCGUACCGUUCUGCCAAAGCACUCGUUGAGAUGCAAAAUUGGAGAGCUUUGUUGGAAAAGGACCAGCUACGCAUAGAACAGAGACAAGGUCGGGUUUUUGUCGGAUGGAAAGAAGGAAAGAUAUAUUUCCCACCAACAUACAAAUAUUCAAGGAAUUCAGAUAGGUAUGCAGGAGAUGACAUGCACCCGAAAGAGAAACGACGAACACCUGCAUGGUGUGAUCGGAUAUUGUGGCACGGAGGUGGUCUUCAGCAAUUAUCUUAUGUUCGUGGGGAGUCUAGAUUUUCAGAUCAUAGACCCGUUUCCAGUGUAUUUUGGGCUGAAGUGGAGUCGGUCCCAAGUAGAUUGAGGAAAAGUAUGAGUUGUUCAAGUUCGAGAAUCGAGGUGGAGGAGCUGUUGCCAUAUUCUCAUGGCUAUACCGAACUCUGCUUCUUUUGAAGGAGAACGGAGGAUACCAAACCUCAGCUUUCGAUUCAGGCGGGAACCACUUUGACGAAACUCAAACCUGAAGAACGCUUGGGACCGUUCUUAUCCCACUAACUGAAAAAGGUGUAUAUUCAAAAUUUUGAUGACUAACUUUAACUUGAAUCGACAUGGACUACAUAUACAUUUCUGUAACACUUAGGAGAAGCAUAACUCGACUUGUUAAUUACCAAACUCCCCGUGGCAACGUCUAUCUUUUGGCACAGUUAUCAUCCUUUUUCUAUAAGGACGAAGUAAAGACCAAAAGCGUAAUGCCAAGUGGGGAAAUGACAAUGAUUUUUGUUUCCAAGAUUCUUUUAUUUUAAGUAGUUAGGACUUAGGAAUAGGAGAGAUUCAAUGACAAGAAGAGCAUGAGUGAAAAAUAAUCAUGUUUCUUUUUUAGUUUUCUUACUUUUUGUUUUUAAUGAUUCUGAUCAUCUGAUGUAUACUCAAUUGCAAACAUGAUACUACUAGUAAGUAAAAGAAUAUAUUUAUUUAUUGAAAA